rnacentral:rRNA from 1 species
AUACGUAGGUGGCAAGCGUUGUCCGGAUUUAUUGGGCGUUAAAGCGCGCGCAGGCGGUCUCUUAAGUUCUGAUGUGAAAGCCCACGGCUCAACCGUGGAGGGUCAUUGGAAACUGGGAGACUUGAGUGCAGAAGAGGAGAGUGGAAUUCCACGUGUAGCGGUGAAAUGCGUAGAGAUGUGGAGGAACACCAGUGGCGAAGGCGACUCUCUGGUCUGUAACUGACGCUGAGGCGCGAAAGCGUGGGGAGC